rnacentral:rRNA from 1 species
GAGGAAUAUUGGCCCAUGGGUGCGAGCCUGAACCAGCCUAGUAGCGUGAAGGAUGACUGCCCUACGGGUUGUAAACUUCCUAUAUAAGGGAAUAAAGUGAGGACCGUGUGCCUUAUUGUAUGUACCUUAGGAAUAAGCAUCGGCUAACUCCGUGCCAGCAGCCGCGGUAAUACGGAGGAUGCAAGCGUUAUCCGGAUUCAUUGGGUUUAAAGGGAGCGUAGGCGGACUAUUAAGUCAGCUGUGAAAGUUUACGGCUCAACCGUGAAAUUGCAGUUGAAACUGGUCGUCUUGCGUGCAGUAAAGGUGGGCGGAUUUCGUGGUGUAGCGGUGAAAUGCUUAGAUAUCACGAAGAACACCAAUUGCGAAGGCAGCUCACUGGAGUGUAGCUGACGCUGAUGCUCGAAAGUGUGUGUAUCAAACA